UUAAAACGAAAGGAACGUUAACAUUGUAUUUACGAUUCAAAUGCUCGAUUUGACGAACGCUCAAAUCCAGAAAACUGUUACCAUCACGAACUUCAAUGAUGGAUUUGGGUCCAACGCAACCCAUCGUAGUGCCCAAUCCACCAUUAAGCUUGAGGACGGCAAGCUUGUUAAGGUAGUCACGAGACAGGCCGCCCGCCUCGGUAAUGGUAUCGUAUUCGACGACUUGCUCGGGCUUGGGAGACUCUACAAGGUCCCAGUUGAUUUCCGAGCCACGAGCGUCCUCCUGAAGAUAGCGACUGAACAAGCUGAAAAAGUUGUCCAUCUCCUUUUGAAAGGCCUUCUUAGCCAAGGGAUCCUUUACGGUGCUAGCCAAGUGAUUCAGCUCAUUCUUCAUAGUACUGGCAGCAAUACUGGUAGCGGUGUUGUCAAAAGCAAAAGCCGAUUGCGACUUGCUGUGCUGACGACCGAGGGGACGUGGUGCCAAAUCCAUAGUGCUUCUGUCUCUUUUCGAAGUUAAAACGUUCUCUUUAAACCUCUAAAACAAACAAUUUCAAUGUUUGUUAUGAUAUACGGAGAGAGUAAGUUACAAGUAGGUGCUCGUUUUAUAUAGCGGCACUUACGUCACCUUUCCUGUCGACAUUUGUUUAGAUUACGUGUAAACAACAACCGACAAUUUUCAACUUUGAGCAUGGCCAAACGGACGAUAAACGUUUGUUAAAUCAUACAUGACAUUAAUAAAUCUACAAAAAAUUUCAAUCUAUUCCAACGUCGCAUUCUAAAGGUUUAUUGCGAAAAACAUGCUUGCUGAACGCAAGUAAAAUUUUUAUUUAUUUACAAAUUUGUUUACAACAAGAAAGUGGGUUGUUAUGACGGCGGAAAUCAAUUGGUGGGGUUUUCGCCGUACGUAAACAAAUUAUCAAUAAUCAAUUACCGUGUUCCAAGGUUUUAUACGUAGUUACCUAGGCAACAUCGCAACAGCUAUCGAAAUCGAAUGUACACGAAAAGUUUGGAAAUAUCCGAUAUAAGAAUAUUAUUCAUAAAGAGAGGUACUUAAUGUAGACGGAAAACACCACUUAUUAGCCGAUGGAGGAUGGAAAAUGGCUCUAAAAUAUGAACAUUAUUAACUAACUAUAUGCAAAACGCAGUAGAUCUCUAAAAAUGAACCAACUAGUUAGUUAGUGUAUGCAAAAAAAGGCCAAGGAAGGCGAGUAGAAAUUCAAACAAAGGUUCUGCUAAGCAGAGCGAGGCGAAAGUAAUAUGGAUUUGAAGUUGUCAGCAAAAAAACGAAAAACAAAAAAAAACGAAUUAUUAAGCAAGCUUCUUUAAUGAAAAAAAACCUUAUAUAAUAAAGAAAUGUGAGUUAAAGAAAGUUAGCUAACUUGAUAACUGAGAAAAUGUAAGAACCAUAAAAGGUUAACGAAAAAAGAUUUAGGGAAAAAACGAGCAUUAGAUUGGUAUGAAAAGGCAGGUGGAUAAUAGAAAAUGCUAAUUAAAAUAAAAGGAACAACAACAACAACAAAAUAUACGAAAUUGAACGAAAAAAAAUUUCGACUUUAAUGGGCUGCCGAUAGAGCAAAGAAAGCACUUGUGCUAUAUUAAGACAACAAAAGUCGAGAUUUUGGGAUUAUUAAAUUUGGCCUUUAGUAAAUGAAACUGUAUGGGAGAGGAAAAAAAAAUGCAAGCUUUAAUGAAAUGAAGUAGUAAGAGAGCAGACAGGUAAGAGAAAAAAUAGGAUUACCGUCAUAAUAGCGAAAAAAAACGUUUCAAAAAGAAACAAUUAGAGGUUCAAAAUGUGACUGAAAUAAAUUAAAAAAAGAAUACGUUCCGUAUUUCGAAAUAAGAAACAGCAAAAGUAAAGUGUAACAAUGAAAAAUGAAAAGUGAAAAUAAAAGAACAAAACAAAAUUCUCACAAAUCAUAAACAUUAACGAACGAAAGUGGAGUUAUGGAUGUGGAAUCGACCAGGCUGACUCCGCUAAUGAGUCAUCGGUUUUCUUUCUCUCCAUGGAGUACUGUUCAUCACGGGAAGGCUCUAUAUGCAACUGAGGAAGAGGCUUUUGCAAAUUUGGCCGUGGACGAGAACGUAAAACGACGAAACCUUUUUCAGAUUCUUUCGGGGGGUCUGAGUGCCAUAUGGACUUAGCUGUUGAUUGGACAAUUUGCCACGCCCGUUGAAAUGCAUUUUUCGGAGGAGGUGGAAUAGCAGUGGGCCUCAUUUCAAAUGGUUGCGAAGAGAUUUGCGAUAGACUGUCAAUACUUGUGUCUACGUGUGGAUGAUAGACAUCGGCCUCACGAACCGCGUAAUUAACAUCAUGGCGUAGUAAAUUAGGCUUGUUGUUUAAAAAGUCUAAUUGUAAAGCACGUAGUUGAUCCAUGUCCCGUUUACGAACAGAUGACUUUGGUUUAGGUGGACGGUAAAAUGAAUAUCCUUGUGAUGUGCUGUAUGGAGAACUGGGAGUAACAGGAGAAUCCAACAUUAGACUACUUGAAGAUGCUGUAUUGUUCUUAGAAGGGACAAGACUCGACGCUUGCGUAACUGGAGGAAUACAGUUAGUCUGAACGAAUAAUUUUGGCGGAGCAGCCUCGCCAUCCUUCUUAAGGGAAUUAGAACAAACGGAGACUGGCGUAAGUGGCACUGACAUUUCAUUUGAGUUGUAGGUAGAAUGAUCAAACAUCAUUGUGUUGCCAUUGGAAUAUGGAUCCUUAAGACGCCGGCGUCUCAAUUCAUUAAUACCAAAUACCCUGGCCCAACCAAAUGGUCGAUCGAGUGGGACACCUUUACUCUCACUUUUAGCACCUAAUAACCGUGCACUGACUUCCAUAAAUCGUUGAGUUGACAGAAGUAAGAAAAGGAUACAAACCAUUAUGUGAAUAAACAAAAUUGCAUAGGCCAGUAAAUCUCUACUAAUGCCAAGAACCUUUAAUCGAGGAUCUAAGGGAAUCAUUAGAAUAACCGUGAUCAAGCGCAUGGUAGAGAUGAAGGUGUUUAACGUAUUCAUACUCGUCUGCGGGAAAUGUGGUCGCACAUAAGCAUACGCCACGACAUUAGCAACUUCAAGUAUAAAGAAUAUGGCUAAUUGUGCAGAGCCGGAACUUCCUAUGACACCAACCGUAAUACCACGCAUAAAUUGUACGGCAAUUGGAAAGAUCCAAAACAUAACUCUCUCUUCUCGAAACGAAUUGUAUAUAGAGCCAAAUAAAUGCAAAUAUGUUUGAUCUUCAAGAAGUUUGGACGAUGGUUCAACAAAAGCGAGAUUCAUAUAUAAAUACACCGGAAUAAAGAUUCCAAAAAAGAUAAACCACAAAACGGGGAUAAUUUCAUAACCUGUGGGCGGUGCGACAAACUGGAAUGACAUAUAAGCGACGGUAGGGAAAUAUGUCAAGAAGUAAAGACGUAUCAGAGAACCAGCAAUGAAGCUCCAAGUAUCCCACCGAGUUUCGGCAAUAGUUUCAUUGAAAAUUCUAGACAUAAGCCAUUUCAAAAAAAUAACCAACAAUGCUACAAAUAACGCAGCAAAUAAGUAAAUAACCAUGACUAUAAGAAACGGAAGCCAGCAUGCAGUACCUAUUCCUAUAGAAUCGAGAAACGAAUACAUGCCAUAUGACUUAGGCAAAUAAUCCGCAUAACUAGAGGAUGCUACAGACAAGUCGGCAAAGUCUGCAAAUUGAUAUUCAGCAGGCUCGGAGAAAAUGGGAAAUCGAAAUAGAGCAGUGCCCCAAGAAAGAGCAGCCAUAAUAUUUAUGUAAAAUUUUGGAAACAUAACACUAACCUGAGCUGUAGAAACAGCAAAUUGCAAGUAUUGCACAAAAUCAAAAAAUCCAAGGGAUGUUAAACGAAGAGCAUCAGGGUCCAUAUUAAAAUUAAAAAUCGACUUAAAUGGAUCUAAACUGCCGGUCCAUGGAUUUAAAAAAAGAGCAUAAAUAAUGGAAAACGAGACAUAUGCGAGCGACACAACAACCAAAUAUGAAAUAACUGGAUAAAAAUAAUACAAAGUUGUGGACAAACCAAACUUCAUACAAGUUAUUACAUUUUUCUCGGGAGUACCGUCAACAACGAUUACUCGCGUUGUUAAUGUAGUCAAUUCGUAUUUUGAGUAAUCGGACAAGGUGGAUUUAAAGGGAACUUUAACCAUGAAAGCGGCACUUCCAGCUGCCCAAGGACAUUUUAUGGGGACUUCAAAAGAAUGAGGAUCCAUAACAACAUCACAAAGCUUUGUGGUAUUGGAUGUGACCAGUUUUCCUAACGCAUAAGUUUCCGAAUAAACUGAAGCAGCGUGAAUAUGUGAGCCAUUUCCACCCACAAUCGUUAUAACUCCGGAUAAAUUCCCCACUACUUGAAUGUAGUACAUCCGAUUCACUUCAUCAAAAUUCUUGAUAACUGCAUAUGGGCUAAAGGUAGGAAUACCUGCUCUCGGUACAAAGUUUGAACAAGUCUCAAAAUAAUCCAAACUUGGGGAUCCAUUCACUGCUGAAAGAAGGCUGUAAAAAACGAUAUGAAGAAAGAGGAAAACAGAGUACGGGCGAGGCUU
rnacentral:lncRNA from 1 species